AAAUCGUACCCCAAACCGACACAGGUGGUCAGGUAGAGAAUACCAAGGCGCUUGAGAGAACUCGGGUGAAGGAACUAGGCAAAAUGGUGCCGUAACUUCGGGAGAAGGCACGCUGGUGUGUAGGUGAAGUCCCUGCGGAUGGAGCUGAGACCAGUCGAAGAUACCAGCUGGCUGCAACUGUUUAUUAAAAACACAGCACUGUGCAAACACGAAAGUGGACGUAUACGGUGUGACGCCUGCCCGGUGCCGGAAGGUUAAUUGAUGGGGUUAUCCGUAAGGAGAAGCUCUUGAUCGAAGCCCCGGUAAACGGCGGCCGUAACUAUAACGGUCCUAAGGUAGCGAAAUUCCUUGUCGGGUAAGUUCCGACCUGCACGAAUGGCGUAAUGAUGGCCAGGCUGUCUCCACCCGAGACUCAGUGAAAUUGAACUCGCUGUGAAGAUGCAGUGUACCCGCGGCAAGACGGAAAGACCCCGUGAACCUUUACUAUAGCUUGACACUGAACAUUGAGCCUUGAUGUGUAGGAUAGGUGGGAGGCUUUGAAGCGUGGACGCCAGUCUGCGUGGAGCCAACCUUGAAAUACCACCCUUUAAUGUUUGAUGUUCUAACGUUGGCCCCUUACCGGGGUUGCGGACAGUGUCUGGUGGGUAGUUUGACUGGGGCGGUCUCCUCCCAAAGCGUAACGGAGGAGCACGAAGGUUAGCUAAUCCUGGUCGGACAUCAGGAGGUUAGUGCAAUGGCAUAAGCUAGCUUGACUGCGAGCGUGACGGCGCGAGCAGGUGCGAAAGCAGGUCAUAGUGAUCCGGUGGUUCUGAAUGGAAGGGCCAUCGCUCAACGGAUAAAAGGUACUCCGGGGAUAACAGGCUGAUACCGCCCAAGAGUUCAUAUCGACGGCGGUGUUUGGCACCUCGAUGUCGGCUCAUCACAUCCUGGGGCUGAAGUAGGUCCCAAGGGUAUGGCUGUUCGCCAUUUAAAGUGGUACGCGAGCUGGGUUUAGAACGUCGUGAGACAGUUCGGUCCCUAUCUGCCGUGGGCGCUGGAGAAUUGAGGGGGGCUGCUCCUAGUACGAGAGGACCGGAGUGGACGCAUCACUGGUGUUCGGGUUGUCAUGCCAAUGGCACUGCCCGGUAGCUAAAUGCGGAAGAGAUAAGUGCUGAAAGCAUCUAAGCACGAAACUUGCCCCGAGAUGAGUUCUCCCUGAGACUUUAAGUCUCCUGAAGGAACGUUGAAGACGACGACGUUGAUAGGCCGGGUGUGUAAGCGCAGCGAUGCGUUGAGCUAACCGGUACUAAUGAACCGUGAGGCUUAACCUU
rnacentral:rRNA from 3 species